rnacentral:rRNA from 1 species
UGGGGAAUAUUGCACAAUGGGCGCAAGCCUGAUGCAGCCAUGCCGCGUGUAUGAAGAAGGCCUUCGGGUUGUAAAGUACUUUCAGCGGGGAGGAAGGCGUUGUGGUUAAUAACCACAGCGAUUGACGUUACCCGCAGAAGAAGCACCGGCUAACUCCGUGCCAGCAGCCGCGAUAAUACGGAGGGUGCAAGCGUUAAUCGGAAUUACUGGGCGUAAAGCGCACGCAGGCGGUCUGUCAAGUCGGAUGUGAAAUCCCCGGGCUCAACCUGGGAACUGCAUUCGAAACUGGCAGGCUAGAGUCUCGUAGAGGGGGGUAGAAUUCCAGGUGUAGCGGUGAAAUGCGUAGAGAUCUGGAGGAAUACCGGUGGCGAAGGCGGCCCCCUGGACAAAGACUGACGCUCAGGUGCGAAAGCGUGGGGAGCAAACAG